UUCUCUCUUCUCCCCACUACCAACAAACUCACUUUCCCACUCCUCACUAAAACAACCCCACUCUCCCAUUCCUUCACCGCCAAAUCCACCUUCUUCGAAGAACAACAACAAGAAGAAGAAGACCUUCCAUUCGACCCACCCGAAAUCCCUGAAGACUUCGUCGAACCACCUUCCAUCUUCGACGAACCAGAAGAAGACGAAGACAAAAUCACCGCCGCUUACGAAGAACUUUACGGCCCAGCCUACAGUGGAGUUAGUGUAUUGGGAAAUGACGUAAACGUGAUGCAGUCAAAGGUGGGUAAGGAUACGGGAAUUGGG
rnacentral:lncRNA from 1 species